CCUACGGGAGGCAGCAGUGAGGAAUAUUGGUCAAUGGACGAGAGUCUGAACCAGCCAAGUAGCGUGAAGGAUGACUGCCCUAUGGGUUGUAAACUUCUUUUAUAAAGGAAUAAAACGAGGCACGUGUGCCGUUUUGCAUGUACUUUAUGAAUAAGGAUCGGCUAACUCCGUGCCAGCAGCCGCGGUAAUACGGAGGAUACGAGCGUUAUCCGGAUUUAUUGGGUUUAAAGGGAGCGUAGAUGGGUUGUUAAGUCAGUUGUGAAAGUUUGCGGCUCAACCGUAAAAUUGCAAUUGAUACUGGCAGUCUUGAGUACAGUUGAGGUAGGCGGAAUUCGUGGUGUAGCGGUGAAAUGCUUAGAUAUCACGAAGAACCCCGAUUGCGAAGGCAGCUUACUAAACUGUGACUGACAUUGAUGCUCGAAAGUGUGGGUAUCAAACAGGAUUAGAUACCCCUGUAGUC
rnacentral:rRNA from 1 species